rnacentral:rRNA from 1 species
GAAAGUAAAGAAGGGCGCAUGGCGGAUGCCUUGGCUCUCGGAGGCGAUGAAGGACGUGAUAAGCUGCGAUAAGCUUUGGGGAGGUGCAAAUGACCUUUGAUCCAGAGAUUUCCGAAUGGGACAACCCAAUAUCUUGAAGAGGUAUUAUCCAACGUUGUUGGAGGCUAACGCAGGGAACUGAAACAUCUUAGUACCUGCAGGAAAAGAAAAUAAACAAUGAUUCCCCCAGUAGUGGCGAGCGAACGGGGAACAGCCCAAACCAUCCAUGUUACGGCAUGGGUGGGGUUGUAGGACUACGCCGUUGCAUGAAGACAUCAGAGAAGAACUUUCUGGAAAGAAAGACCAUAGAGCAUGACAGUUGCGUAUUCGAAUGUUGUCGAAGCAUAGUAGUAUCCUGAGUAGCGCGGAGCACGAGGAAUUCUGCGUGAAUCUGCCGGGACCAUCCGGUAAGGCUAAAUACUCCCGAGAGACCGAUAGCGAACCAGUACCGUGAGGGAAAGGUGAAAAGCACUUCGAACAGAAGAGUGAAAUAGUUCCUGAAACCGUGCGCCUACAAGCGGUCGGAGCUCGUUAAUGAGUGACGGCGUGCCUUUUGCAUAAUGAACCUACGAGUUGCCUUUGCCGGCAAGGUUAAGUGUGACGACACACGUAUCCGAAGCGAAAGCGAGUCUGAACAGGGCGUAUAGUCGGCAGUGGCAGACGCGAAACCAAGUGAUCUACCCUUGGCCAGGUUGAAGGCUGGGUAACACCAGCUGGAGGACCGCACCAAUAAGCGUUGAAAAGCUUCUGGAUGAGCUGAGGGUAGGGGUGAAAGGCUAAUCAAACUUGGAGAUAGCUCGUACUCCCCGAAAUGCAUUUAGGUGCAGCCUUGCGGGUUACUGAUGUGAGGUAGAGCGACUGAUAAGAUGCGAGGGCUUCACCGCCUAUCAAGUCUUGACAAACUCCGAAUGCGCAUCAGUUCUACCGCAGGAGUGAGGGCAUGGGUGCUAAGGUCCGUGCCCGAGAGGAGAAGAAUCCGGACCACCUGCUAAGGUCCCGAAAUGACAGCUAAGUUAAACUAACGAAGUCUGACUGCUAAGACAGCUAGGAUGUUGGCUUGGAAGCAGCCAUUCAUUUAAAGAGUGCGUAACAGCUCACUAGUCGAGGAGUCGGGCGUGGAUAAUAAUCGGGUAUCAAGUUGUCUACCGAAGCAGUGGGAUCAUUAAUAUGAUCGGUAGGGGAGCAUUCCAGUCAGCGUCGAAGGCGUACCGUGAGGUAUUCUGGAGCGUCUGGAAAAGCAAAUGUAGGUAUAAGUAACGAUAAAGGGGGCGGGAAACCCCCUCGCCGAAAGACUAAGGUUUCCUGAUCAACGCUAAUCGGAUCAGGGUCAGUCGGGUCCUAAGGCUCAGCCGAACGGCGAUGCCGAUGGCAGAAACGGUUAAUAUUCCGUUACUACCUUCAGGAGUGACGUGGAGACGCAGUAGUGACAGUGCCGCCAUCUGACGGAAUAGAUGGUUGAAGGGUGUAGGAGUCGAUCAUGGCAGGCAAAUCCACCAUGAGAUCCGAACCUGACAGUAUGCCGCGUCCUUCGGGACAAGGCAAUAGUGCGCGUAAGCAUGCUGCCGAGAAAAUCCGCUAAACUUAAUCCUGCAGGUACCCGUACCGCAAACGGACACACGUAGUCGGGAUGAAUAUUCUAAGGCGCUUGAGUGAUUCACGGUUAAGGAACUAGGCAAACUGACCCUGUAACUUCGGGAUAAAGGGUCCCUACCCUUUUAUGGGAGGGCGCAGAGAAUCGGUCCAGGCAACUGUUUAACAAAAACACAGGGCUGUGCCAAAUCGAAAGAUCCAGUAUACAGCCUGACACCUGCCCGGUGCUGGAAGGUUAAGAGGAGAUGUCAUCGAUAAGAGAAGCGUUGAAUUGAAGCCCCAGUAAACGGCGGCCGUAACUAUAACGGUCCUAAGGUAGCGAAAUUCCUUGUC